rnacentral:rRNA from 1 species
CGAGCGGUAACAGGAAUUAUGCUUGCUAAUUUGCUGACGACGCGGCGGACGGGUGAGUAACGCGUAAGAAUCUGCCUAGUAGUGGGGGACAACAUGGGGAAACGCAUGCUAAUACCGCAUACGCCCUACGGGGGAAAGGAGGGGAUCUUCGGACCUUUCGCUAUUAGAUGAGCCUGCGUGAGAUUAGCUAGUUGGUGGGGUAAAGGCCUACCAAGGCGACGAUCUCUAGCUGGUCUGAGAGGAUGAUCAGCCACACUGGGACUGAGACACGGCCCAGACUCCUACGGGAGGCAGCAGUGGGGAAUAUUGGACAAUGGGCGCAAGCCUGAUCCAGCCAUGCCGCGUGUGUGAAGAAGGCCUUAGGGUUGUAAAGCACUUUCAGGAGUGAGGAAGGUUACAUAGUUAAUACCUGUGUAAUUUGACGUUAACUCCAGAAGAAGCACCGGCUAACUCUGUGCCAGCAGCCGCGGUAAUACAGAGGGUGCGAGCGUUAAUCGGAAUUACUGGGCGUAAAGCGCGCGUAGGCGGUUUGUUAAGUCGGAUGUGAAAUCCCAGGGCUCAACCUUGGAAUGGCACCCGAUACUGGCAGGCUAGAGUACGGUAGAGGGGUGUGGAAUUUCCUGUGUAGCGGUGAAAUGCGUAGAUAUAGGAAGGAACAUCAGUGGCGAAGGCGUCCCCCUGGACCGAUACUUACCC